UCAACGAUCAGCCUCUCAGGUUGGUUUAUAAAAUAAAGUCCAACACAAGCUCCUUGUUUCAACCCAUAAUACAUAAGACCAUAAUAGAUUUCCUCCCGAGCUUUAGCUUUUUCUCCAUAUGUCAUCAACGUAUACUCCCCAACUUU